CCUACGGGAGGCAGCAGUGAGGAAUAUUGGACAAUGGGCGGGAGCCUGAUCCAGCCAUGCCGCGUGCAGGAAGACUGCCCUAUGGGUUGUAAACUGCUUUUGUACAGGAAGAAACACUCCCUCGUGAGGGAGCUUGACGGUACUGUAAGAAUAAGGAUCGGCUAACUCCGUGCCAGCAGCCGCGGUAAUACGGAGGAUCCAAGCGUUAUCCGGAAUCAUUGGGUUUAAAGGGUCCGUAGGUGGAUGAUUAAGUCAGAGGUGAAAUCCUGCAGCUCAACUGUAGAAUUGCCUUUGAUACUGGUUGUCUUGAAUUAUUGUGAAGUAGUUAGAAUAUGUGGUGUAGCGGUGAAAUGCAUAGAUAUCACAUAGAAUACCGAUUGCGAAGGCAGAUUACUAACAAUACAUUGACACUGAUGGACGAAAGCGUGGGGAGCGAACAGGAUUAGAUACCCUGGUAGUCCACGCCGUAAACGAUGGAUACUAGCUGUUCGGAUUUAUCUGAGUGGCUAAGCGAAAGUGAUAAGUAU
rnacentral:rRNA from 1 species